CCUACGGGUUGCACCAGUGGGGAAUAUUGCACAAUGGGCGCAAGCCUGAUGCAGCCAUGCCGCGUGUAUGAAGAAGGCCUUCGGGUUGUAAAGCACUUUCAGUAGGGAGGAAGGUAGUGUAGUUAACACCUGCACUAUUUGACGUUACCUACAGAAGAAGCACCGGCUAACUCCGUGCCAGCAGCCGCGGUAAUACGGAGGGUGCGAGCGUUAAUCGGAAUUACUGGGCGUAAAGCGCAUGCAGGCGGUCUGUUAAGCAAGAUGUGAAAGCCCGGGGCUCAACCUCGGACCAGCAUUUUGAACUGGCAGACUAGAGUCUUGUAGAGGGGGGUAGAAUUUCAGGUGUAGCGGUGAAAUGCGUAGAGAUCUGAAGGAAUACCGGUGGCGAAGGCGGCCCCCUGGACAAAGACUGACGCUCAGAUGCGAAAGCGUGGGGAGCAAACAGGAUUAGAUACCCGAGUAGUC
rnacentral:rRNA from 1 species